CUUAGAGCCGAAAUUAAAAAUGGCCUUCAGAGAUUGAAGAAUGUGAACACAGCAGGAGAAACAUAUAUGCACGAAGGAUUAAAAGCAGCCUAUGAACAAAUUGAGAAGGCUGGAGGACACAGAACUGCCAGUAUUGUGGUGGCCCUGAUAGAUGGGGAGCUACUAGGUUUGUUGCCGAAUUAUGCUAUACAGGCGGCUGAUCGUGCAAGAGAAUUGGGUGCUAGAGUGUACUGUGUUGGAGUUAAGGAUUUCAAUGAAGACCAGG